rnacentral:tRNA from 1 species
UUAAAAUAAAGCGAUAAAUUGCAUUCAGUUUCGACCUGGACUUAGAAAUUUUCUAUUUUUUA